AUUACCUCAGUAACGGCGAGUGAAGCGGUAACAGCUCAAAUUUGAAAUCUGGCUCUUUCAGGGUCCGAGUUGUAAUUUGUAGAAGAUGCUUCGGGUGUGGCUCCGGUCUAAGUUCCUUGGAACAGGACGUCAUAGAGGGUGAGAAUCCCGUAUGUGACUGGCUGCCUUCGCCCAUGUGAAGCUCUUUCGACGAGUCGAGUUGUUUGGGAAUGCAGCUCUAAAUGGGUGGUAUAUUUCAUCUAAAGCUAAAUAUUGGCCAGAGACCGAUAGCGCACAAGUAGAGUGAUCGAAAGAUGAAAAGCACUUUGGAAAGAGAGUUAAACAGUACGUGAAAUUGUUGAAAGGGAAGCGCUUGCAACCAGACUUGCACGCCGUCGAUCAUCCUGGGUUCUCCCUGGUGCACUCGGCGGCGUUCAGGCCAGCAUCGGUUUUGGUGGUUGGAUAAAGGCCUUGGGAAUGUGGCUCCUCUCGGGGAGUGUUAUAGCCCUCGGUGCAAUGCAGCCUACCGGGACCGAGGACCGCGCUUCGGCUAGGAUGCUGGCGUAAUGGUUGUAAGCGACCCGUCUUGAAACACGGACCAAGGAGUCUAACAUCUAUGCGAGUGUUUGGGUGUCAAACCCAUACGCGUAAUUAACGUGAACGGAGGUGAGAACCCUUUAGGGUGCAUCAUCGACCGAUCCUGAUGUCUUCGGAUGGAUUUGAGUAAGAGCAUAGCUGUUGGGACCCGAAAGAUGGUGAACUAUGCCUAAAUAGGGUGAAGCCAGAGGAAACUCUGGUGGAGGCUCGCAGCGGUUCUGACGUGCAAAUCGAUCGUCAAAUUUGGGUAUAGGGGCGAAAGACUAAUCGAACCAUCUAGUAGCUGGUUCCUGCCGAA
rnacentral:rRNA from 1 species